CACCCCUACUUCCCACCCCUACCCUCCCCCCUGCAGCUCCUGACUUCCAGGAUUAAUGCUCAAUUUUCCCUCCCCGUGUGCUUCUCCGUAGUUGCAGUGGAAACACUUCAGGAAGGGUGAAUAGAAUGUGGGAGAUUAGGAGUUCCUGUUGUGGCUCAGUGGUUAACAUCUGACUAGGAACCAUGAGGUUGCAGGUUCAAUCCCUGGUCUUGCUUAGUGGGCUAAGGAUCUGGCAUUGCCAUGAGCAGACGCAGCUCUCUGGCAUAAGUCGGCGAUUAGACCCCUAACGUGGGAACCUCCAUGUGCCACUGGUGCAGCCCUAGAAAAGGCAAAAAGACAAAAGAAAAAAAAAAAAAAGAAGUGGGAAGUUAAAUGUUCAGGUUCUCAUGACUGUCUUGAACUAGAAUUUUUGUGUUUGUUAAAAAAAAAAGGAGAGAAGGAGGAAAUAAAAUCCAGAAGCUUGGGGAAUGACGACUUUAAGAUUAGGUUAAACAUGGCUUAAGACUGUAAGAAUGCAGUUCUUUGGGCAUGUUUGUGGCAGAAACUGUGUCUGUGAUCCUGACCCACGACCUCCGGUGUCACUGUGUGACAAUGAGGCUGAAGAUGAGAGAACAGAGCUGGGAGCAGAGGUAUAGGAGGGUCUGCCAUUGGUAAUGCAGUCUUUUCCUUUAAAACCAAGGUGCAGUUUGUAGUGGCUAAUUGAAUGGAAUUAAUUAUUCUUUAGGUUUAGGGUUUUUAGGGAGAAAAUUGUAUCUUCCAAUGUGGUGUGAGGUUCUUAAGGAGAUAAGGCUGUUGGCUUUCUAAUGAGCCCCCCAGGGGCACACACCUGGAAAGGGCCAACUGGGUCCUAUGCUCCGUGCCAAGACCUCUACAAACAUCAUGUCAUUUAAUACAGCAAUCCUGGUAUGUCAUCACCAUUUUACAGAGGAAGAAACCAAGCUGAGAGAGGAGAGAGGGUACAGCAGUUAACAGUGGCAGGAUAGGGACAGGAAACCUGGCGGUGUGACAGAGAAACGGCUCGCUUAUCUUCCCCAGGCUUAGGAAGGUGCAGCCUGGCAGGGGGAUGUCGCCAUUUACGUAUUCUUAGCCCGAGGGGAUUUCAAGCCGAGGAGUUCCCUCUCCCAGGUUCUGGCAGUCAUGGACCGAGAAGAGCGGGUCCAGGCGCGGGUCCCGCGUGGAUGCUGGAGCCCAUACCUGUGAGGUUGGUGCCCGCGAGGGCGCAGCCAGGGCGCUGGAAGCCAA
rnacentral:lncRNA from 1 species